rnacentral:rRNA from 1 species
AGCGAACGCUGGCGGCAGGCCUAACACAUGCAAGUCGAGCGCCCAGCAAUGGGAGCGGCAGACGGGUGAGUAACGCGUGGGGAUCUACCCAUUGGUACGGAAUAACCCAGGGAAACUUGGAUUAAUACCGUAUGAGCCCUUCGGGGGAAAGAUUUAUCGCCAAUGGAUGAACCCGCGUCUGAUUAGCUAGUUGGUGAGGUAAAGGCUCACCAAGGCGACGAUCAGUAGCUGGUCUGAGAGGAUGAUCAGCCACACUGGGACUGAGACACGGCCCAGACUCCUACGGGAGGCAGCAGUGGGGAAUAUUGGACAAUGGGCGCAAGCCUGAUCCAGCCAUGCCGCGUGAGUGAUGAAGGCCUUGGGGUUGUAAAGCUCUUUCGCCGGUGAAGAUAAUGACGGUAACCGGAGAAGAAGCCCCGGCUAACUUCGUGCCAGCAGCCGCCGUAA